AUUGAACGCUGGCGGCAUGCCUUGCACAUGCAAGUCGAACGGUAACAGGUCUUCGGAUGCUGACGAGUGGCGAACGGGGGAGUAAUACAUCGGAACGUGCCCGAUCGUGGGGGAUAACGAGGCGAAAGCUUUGCUAAUACCGCAUACGAUCUACGGAUGAAAGCGGGGGAUCUUCGGACCUCGCGCGGACGGAGCGGCCGAUGGCAGAUUAGGUAGUUGGUGGGAUAAAAGCUUACCAAGCCGACGAUCUGUAGCUGGUCUGAGAGGAUGAUCAGCCACACUGGGACUGAGACACGGCCCAGACUCCUACGGGAGGCAGCAGUGGGGAAUUUUGGACAAUGGGCGAAAGCCUGAUCCAGCCAUGCCGCGUGCAGGAUGAAGGCCUUCGGGUUGUAAACUGCUUUUGUACGGAACGAAAAGCCUCUUUCUAAUAAAGAGGGGUCAUGACGGUACCGUAAGAAUAAGCACCGGCUAACUACGUG
rnacentral:rRNA from 1 species